CUGAACUUAAGCAUAUCAAUAAGCGGAGGAAAAGAAAAUAACAAUGAUUCCCCUAGUAACUGCGAGUGAAGAGGGACAAGCUCAAAUUUUAAAUCCAUCGGGUUUUACCUGAUCGAGUUGUAAUUUGAAGAGGCGUUUUCUGUGUUUCUGAUCAGUCCAAGUCCUUUGGGAUAAGGCAUCAUGGAGGGUGAGAAUCCCGUCCGGUUGAUCAGAUUCGCUUUACGAUACGCUUUCUAAGAGUCAAGUUGUUUGGGAUUGCAGCUUAAAAUGGGAGGUAAAUUUCUCCUAAGGCUAAAUAACGGCGAGAGACCGAUAGCGAACAAGUACCGUGAGGGAAAGAUGAAAAGAACUUUGAAAAGAGAGUUAAAUAGUACGUGAAAUUGUUGAAAGGGAAACGAUUGAAGCCAGUCGUACCUAUGGGUAAUCAGCCUUUUGGGUGUGAUUUUGUGGAGCGUGAGGAGUUAAACGCCUUCAUGCCUGCAUAUUCGUGCACUUUGGGUGUACUUGCCCGUAUGGUUGGUUAACAUCAAUUUUGGUGGUCAUAAAAUGACUGGAGGAAUGUAGCUUCGAUCUCGUAUUGAAGUGUUAUAGCCUUCGGUAGAUGUGAUGAUCGAGAUUGAGGAUUGCAACGGAUACCCUUCGGGGCUACCUGUCUGAUCUCUGAUCGUUGCUCUGGUGCCGAAAGCUUGCUUACGGUUAUCAAAGUCGAUGGUCAAUAGGUUAGAACGGGUUAAAUUCGUUAAGGAUGUUGACGUAAUGGCUUUAAACGACCCGUCUUGAAACACGGACCAAGGAGUCUAACAUAUAUGCGAGUGUUAGGGUGAUUAAACCCUUACGCGUAAUGAAAGUAAUUUUGGUGGGAACAUUUUUGUGCACCAUCGACCGAUCAGGAUAUUUUUUGAUAGAUUUGAGUAAGAGCAUAUCUGCUAGGACCCGAAAGAUGGUGAACUAUGCCUGAAUAGGGUGAAGUCAGAGGAAACUCUGAUGGAGGCUCGUAGCGGUUCUGACGUGCAAAUCGAUCGUCAAAUUUGGGUAUAGGGGCGAAAGACUAAUCGAACCAUCUAGUAGCUGGUUCCUGCCGAAGUUUCCCUCAGGAUAGCGGAAACUCGUUAACAGUUUUAUGAGGUAAAGCGAAUGAUUAGGGGCCUUAGGGUUGAAACAGCCUUAACCUAUUCUCAAACUUUAAAUAUGUAAGAAGUUUAUCGUUACUUAAUUGAACGUGAACAUUCGAAUGAUAGUUUCUAGUGGGCCAUUUUU
rnacentral:rRNA from 1 species